rnacentral:rRNA from 1 species
UACGUAGGGGGCAAGCGUUGUCCGGAUUUAUUGGGCGUAAAGAGCGUGUAGGCGGCUUUACAGGUCCGUUGUGAAAACUCGAGGCUCAACCUCGAGACGCCGGUGGAAACCGUAAAGCUAGAGUCCGGAAGAGGAGAGUGGAAUUCCUGGUGUAGCGGUGAAAUGCGCAGAUAUCAGGAGGAACACCCGUGGCGAAAGCAGCUCUCUGGGACGGUACUGACGCUGAGACGCGAAAGCGUGGGGAGCAAACAGG